CUUCCGGUAUCUCGUGCAUCACCAUUACGUGAGCACCCCACCAUUGGUUGGCAGCUACUUUGGAGAUACCCAUCUGAAGGCCAUAGAGAAUCGGCCGUUCAGACGUGCGCCAUCCGACUCUCAGAGAGCGCAGCCCCCGGGGUUAUCGGAAUGGGAUUUCUCCACUCUGAAGACUCCCGGGGAUCGAUCGUACUUCCUGUGUGCCGACAUCUUUAAGUAUCGUAUCUGGCGAGAGAUACGUGGCUCUUGAACCUCACAAGUGUCUCUCUGUUUUCAGGGAGAUUUCUUCAGACUGUGAGCCAGGUGUGGACCAGGAACUACGUCAGAUCUGCGCCUAUUACAUCUACCCCGGCACAUGAUGAGGUAGCUGAGGCGCAGAGAAGUGAAGUGACUUGCCC